CACGUAGGGCGCAAGCGUUGUCCGGAAUUAUUGGGCGUAAAGAGCUCGUAGGCGGUCUGUUACGUCUGCUGUGAAAACCCAGGGCUUAACCCUGGGCUUGCAGUGGAUACGGGCAGACUAGAGGCAGGUAGGGGAGAAUGGAAUUCCCGGUGUAGCGGUGAAAUGCGCAGAUAUCGGGAGGAACACCGGUGGCGAAGGCGGUUCUCUGGGCCUGACCUGACGCUGAGGAGCGAAAGCGUGGGGAGCGAAUAGG
rnacentral:rRNA from 1 species